UCCAGAGGUCUCAAGCGUUGUUCGGAUUCAUUGGGCGUAAAGGGCGCGUAGGCGGUGGGGUAAGUCUGGUGUGAAAUCUCGGAGCUCAACUUCGAAAUUGCACUGGAUACUGCUCUGCUAGAGGGCUGGAGAGGAGAUCGGAAUUCACGGUGUAGCAGUGAAAUGCGUAGAUAUCGUGAGGAAGACCAGUGGCGAAGGCGGAUCUCUGGACAGCUCCUGACGCUGAGGCGCGAAGGCUAGGGGAGCAAACGGG
rnacentral:rRNA from 1 species